rnacentral:rRNA from 1 species
UACGGGGGGGGCAAGCGUUGUUCGGAAUUACUGGGCGUAAAGGGUUCGUAGGUGGCCUACUAAGUCAGACGUGAAAUCCCUCAGCUUAACUGGGGAACUGCGUCUGAUACUGGGGGGCUUGAGUGCAGGAGAGGAACGCGGAAUUCCAGGUGUAGCGGUGAAAUGCGUAGAUAUCUGGAGGAACACCGGUGGCGAAGGCGGCAUUCUGGACCGAAACUGACGCUGAGGCGCGAAAGCCAGGGGAGCAAACGGG